rnacentral:lncRNA from 1 species
UCCACAGCCGACAAGAUGCAGAGCACAGACAGCCACUCCGUGGAGGAGGUUGGAGAAGUGGAGAGCAACCCAGUGAGCAAAGCAAUAGCGCGCCACCUGGGCAUCGACAUUUCUGCAGAAGGCCGCCUGGCCAAGAACCGGAAAGGAAUCGCCAUUAUCGUCUACGGGACGCCGGUGUCAGACAUUGCCCACAUUUCCGGCUCAGGAUGAUAUCCCGCAUCUUCAAAGCUGCCAGUUCUGUCUCCUCAGCUCCUGCUCUCACAUCACUGCCUCUGCCUCUAACCCUCCUGCUUUUCUCUCCUGGGGACCCCUGUAAUGAGGUGGAGGACACUCAGACAAGCCAGGGUCGUGUUCAGUGGUAGAAUCUGUAAACUGACUGAACCUACAAAAUGAUCUUUCUUUGCACAUAAGGAAGCAUCGUUCUUUGCACACAAGGGAAUUUGUCCCCAGGCUCCGAGGACGGGAGCAUCUGCAUCCUUAGGGUUUAUAAUUCAGCAUCCCAUGUAACCCAUUCCUUCCCCCUCACCCUUCUUUCCUCCCUCCAACCCUUUUUUCUUCAGUUUCUCCCUCCCUCCUUUUCUUUCUUUCCUUCAUUCUUAGACUCGAGUUGAGGCUAGCCUCAUAGUCUCUAUAUAGCCAAGGGUGACUUUGAACUCUUGAUCCUUCUGUCUCUACCUCUAAAGACUGUUGUAAUAAUAAUUAUUUAAUAAAUCUUGUCGCAGGGU